AUCUCUGAUUUGUUUAGCAAACAGAAGGCUGCUCAUCAGUAACUUAUUUUUUUAAUCAUCAGUACACAUCUGAGCCAACACAUGCAACUGGUGACAGCAUAUUCAGUGGCUGUAUUAGAGGUUAGAGGAGCUGCAUUGGAGGCCAGAGUCUGUAUUAGAGGCCAGAGUCUGUAUUAGAGGCCAGAGUCUGUAUUAGAGGCCAGAGUCUGUAUUAGAGGACCAGAGUCUGUAUUAGAGGACCAGAGUCUGUAGAGGUUAGAGGAGCUAUAUUAGAAGACCAGAGUCUGUAUUAGAGGUUAGAGGAGCUGUAUUAGAGGACCAGAGUCUGUAUUAGAGAUUAGAGGAGCUAUAUUAGAGGACCAAAAUCUGUAUUAGAAGCCAGAGUCUGUAUUAGAGGCCGGAGCCUGUAUUAGAGGCCAGAGUCUGUAUUAGAGGUUAGAGCCCAGAGUCUGUAUUAGAAGCCAGAGUCUGUAUUAGAGGCCAGAGUCUGUAUUCGAGGCCAGAGUCUGUAUUCGAGGCCAGAGUCUGUAUUCGAGGCCAGAGUCUGUAUUCGAGGCCAGAGUCUGUAUUAGAGGACCAUAGUUUGUAGAGGUUAGAGGAGCUAUAUUAGAAGACCAGAGUCUGU